ensembl:processed_transcript
AAAAGACGCGGCCAAUGGCUGCGAGCGCCAGAGGCCGGGGAGCAGGCGAGGCGCUGGGUGCUGGUCGGCUGUUGGAGCGCUGGUAGGAAUGGCAGCGGGGCCGGGAGAGCGGCGGCGCUCGGCGCCGGGUGGGUCGCGGUAGCCGGCUGCGGGGUUCGCCCUUUGUCUGCACCCUUCCAAAAUGGCUGCGGCCAGGGCGGGCGGUGACAGCUGCGCGGGCGCUCCCGGGGCCCGGGCGGUCAGAGAGGAGCAGGCGUCCUGGCACGAAGGCGCUUUCGGGGCGGAGAGGUGCGCAGAGGACGCCGCGGACGCGACGGGUCANCUCCCCUGGCUUACAGCGGCCGAAAACAAAUUCCAGAUGGCAAAGCUCCUUGUUGGGACCUCAACGCAACUGACCUUCCUAGAAUCAUCGUCACCUCUGAAGAGACUUGCCACGGUCUGCACAGAUCCAGCACUGGGGAAUGAGGAAUUUGACAUUGUAAUUUUUUUUUCCUUUCNUGCCUUGAAAGAGAGACACUUCCCACCAGCUUGUACUACCCACACACACCCUCCCAGAUGAAGGCAGGAGGAUAAGGAGUUCAACCUUUGUUAUGCAUUUAGUUGGAGGCCAGCCUGGGGUCUUGUGGGGCCCUGUAUCAAAAAGGUGAGGUGAGAAUUCUUCUCUCAAAAGCAGAGUAUAACUCUCAGCCUGUGUGUUGAUCCUGUCCCAGCCUUUUAAACUAAAUGAGUUAUAUAACUACUAUACAAACCCCACUCUACCCCAGCUGUUCUCUAAGGAAUAGUCUACCUAAAGAACUGUGCGCCUUGAAGCCAAAAAACAAAACAAACAAACAAACAAACCUCACAGUGCCCUCACUUGCAAAAUGUGCUUGGGAAUCCUUAAAUAACAGAAAUUUUGUUCUUGAGCAUCAGCCUCCAGGUUUGGAAAGCCAGUAAAAAGAAAGAGACAAUGAGGAAGCAGGUUGGGUGCUACAGCCAGUAUAGGCUUGACACACACUAGGAGGAACAGAAAUUCGCAGUUGUAAAUAAAACCCAUGAGUCUUCUUUGGACACAGGAGAACACACUCAGGGCCAAGAGCAUCAUCCUGAGUGAGGGGGACACUACUUAGUCACAGCCCCCAGCCACAAGUCACAGAAUUCUUUACUCUUGAUAAUGGUUUAAAGAUUUUAAAGUGGACCAAAGGAUCAGCAGGUUCUUGCUAAUCCUCUUGAUGCUGGUUAACGGGACCCACCAGUUAGGUGUACAGUAGCCUGUACCCCGAAGCCAUUAAGUGACAGGGAGCAAAACAAUGAGAGCCAUAGCAGAGCCCAGGCUCUGGAGCUCACAGGCCUCUUGGUACCAUGGUACACAGCCUCCUUCCAUGCUUAAGCAUCCGCCGAUGACACUUACAGCCCCUGAGCCAUGGAGACUUGUUACAGGUGUAGGGUUUAGGGUCUGUGCCCACCAGUNCCUUCAUUCCUUGCUGCAGAACCCAGUGUGGGAGCCUCACACAGUUCAGGUAGCUGUUUUCAAGUGCAGAGCUCUUAAGACUGAAGUGGGUGGAGCUAAAAAGUCUCCUCCCCUCCUCAAAAUCUAUAUGCAAAGGGCAGUAGACACUAUUAAAGCCUUAACCUUUGUCACUCUGGAGACUGAAGAACAAAUUUUCUUUAAAUUGUCUCUUCCUUUGAUAUAUUGCCAUAGGCCAUUAUGACUUUCAUAGUUUGAACUAGCAUUAAAAGAGAAAAGGAAGAAUCAUUAAAUAUAAAGUAUAAGUACAUAAAACACCCAUUUUGUAGAAGCAGGGGACAACUUUUGCAAGUAGGUUCUUGCCACCAUAGGUUUAAGGGAUCAAAUUUUUAUCAGGCGAAUGUGGCAACUACUUUUAUCUGCUUAGCCAUUUCACCAGCACAAGAUGUUUAAUU